rnacentral:tRNA from 1 species
GAGGGUACAGCUCAGUGGUAGAGUGCAUGCCUAGCAUGCACAAGUUCCUGGGUUCAAUCCCUGGUCCCUUCA